rfam:Filifactor alocis ATCC 35896, complete genome.
GUCUUGAAGGUCUGUGGUUGAAAGUCCAAGCCAGAUGCAGGCAAAAGGAUCCACGUAAGCCGACCAAAAACGGUUACGGUGAGCAUAGUGCAUCUUAGGAGUAAGACCUGCCGAUUAUAAUCGAGAGGGGUAGUAGUGCGACGAACUCAAGCGAACCUCCCAGCAGGCGAGUGUGGGGGAAAAGACCAGGUCAGCUUCAAGAU